rnacentral:rRNA from 1 species
UACAGAGGAGCCAAGCGUUGUCCGGAUUGACUGGGCGUAAAGCGCACGCAGGCGGGUGCGCGCGUGGGGUGUGAAAUCUGGCCGCUUAACGGCCAGGCGCCAUCCCAUACGGCGCGCCUGGAGCCUUGCAGAGGUCGGUGGAAUUGCCGGUGUAGUGGUGAAAUGCGUAGAGAUCGGCAGGAACACCCAGGGGGAAACCAGCCGACUGGGCAAGUGGCUGACGCUGAGGUGCGAGAGCGUGGGGAGCGAACAGG